CAGAAAAAUGCAGUUUUUACUGAAAAUUUGGGGCAGAGGACCCAAGCCUCCUAGCAAGGAGAACUCUUAGCAGUGAGAGAAUGCUGGACCUUGCCUCAAGAAUUCACCAUGUCACUUGGAAACUGGAAUUAAAUCAGGUUUGAUACAGGAAAGUGAACUGUGAAAAACCAAGCAGAAGUGAUUCUGUCUUAAUGGUGCGAUGAGCUGGAGAAGUCGUAGGAAACCAAAAGACAGGAGAGAAGACACCAUUCCCGAGAAGCAAGGCAUUGGUGAAAGGAGAUGAAGGCAUUUUACCAACCUGAACGUUUUCACAUGGGACGUUUCAUGGCAUAAUCUCUGAAACUGUUGAGUUGUUGAGGGUUCCUAAGCCUUUUCUUAGCAUUGAGGUCCUCUUUUCAAUAAAUCCUACUUCUUACUGAAUGCAGAAUCAAAGCAAUCCUACAGCACUAACACUUCCAUUGUUGCAUAUGGAGCUCAGUAUACAAAGAACCCCAGAAGAGAGGUUACAGCUGGAUUAUAGCUGCUUCAAAUAUGUAACUUUCCAUGAAUAGUUUCUGACAUUUUGAAGGCUAGGCAUCCCAAGCCAGAACUUUUCUAUCCAAGCAUGUAGGACAGCAUUCAUUGGUUGUGUGU
rnacentral:lncRNA from 1 species